AAGCACAUUUCAUGUUCCUGCUCUGUGUUUGUGAGAGCUGAGAUUUCUGAUGUGCUAGAUUAAUCAUGGCGGUAAAUUAGCAGUGUGGCUGCACAGUGUCAUUACUGCCAGUCCCCUUCAGACAAUU